GGAGGUAGGCCCUCCGGACUCGCCGAUUAGGCGGAGAGUCCAAACAACCUAGAUGUCAUCUUGGUUAAGAGCCAAGAUGGGGAGCGAUCUAGGAAAAGACCCGGAAGUACCGAGUCAUG
rfam:Acidithrix ferrooxidans strain Py-F3 AXFE_contig000096, whole genome shotgun sequence.